GUACCCUUCACUACGGAAUAGCUUCUGGAAACGGAAGGUAAUACCGUAUACGCCCUCCGGGGGAAAGAUUUAUCGGUGAAGGAUCGGCCCGCGUUAGAUUAGUUUGUUGGUGGGGUAAUGGCCUACCAAGACUACGAUCUAUAGCUGGUCUGAGAGGAUGAUCAGCCACACUGGGACUGAGACACGGCCCAGACUCCUACGGGAGGCAGCAGUGGGGAAUCUUGCACAAUGGGCGAAAGCCUGAUGCAGCCAUGCCGCGUGAAUGAUGAAGGCCUUAGGGUUGUAAAAUUCUUUCGCCAGGGAUGAUAAUGACAGUACCUGGUAAAGAAGCCCCGGCUAACUUCGUGCCAGCAGCCGCGGUAAUACGAAGGGGGCUAGCGUUGUUCGGAAUUACUGGGCGUAAAGCGCGCGUAGGCGGGCUAUUAAGCCAGAUGUGAAAGCCCGGGGCUCAACCUCGGAAUUGCAUUUGGAACUGGUAGCCUAGAGACCAGGAGAGGUUAGCGGAAUACCGAGUGUAGAGGUGAAAUUCGUAGAUAUUCGGUGGAACACCAGUGGCGAAGGCGGCUAACUGGACUGGUACUGACGCUGAGGCGCGAAAGUGUGGGGAGCAAACAGGAUUAGAUACCCUGGUAGUCCACACCGUAAACGAUGAAUGCUAGUUGUCUGCGC
rnacentral:rRNA from 1 species